UGGGGAAUAUUGCACAAUGGGGGAAACCCUGAUGCAGCGACGCCGCGUGAACGAAGAAGGUAUUCGUAUCGUAAAGUUCUGUCCUAUGGGAAGAUAAUGACAGUACCAUAGAAGAAAGCUCCGGCUAAAUACGUGCCAGCAGCCGCGGUAAUACGUAUGGAGCGAGCGUUGUCCGGAAUUAUUGGGCGUAAAGGGUACGCAGGCGGUUUAAUAAGUCGAAUGUUAAAGAUCGGGGCUCAACCCCGCAAAGCAUUGGAAACUGAGAGACUUGAGUAGUGGAGAGAAAAGUGGAAUUCCUAGUGUAGUGGUGAAAUACGUAGAUAUUAGGAGGAAUACCAGUAGCGAAGGCGACUUUCUGGACACAAACUGACGCUGAGGUACGAAAGCGUGGGGAGCAAGCAGG
rnacentral:rRNA from 1 species